rnacentral:rRNA from 1 species
UACGGAAGGCAGCAGUGGGGAAUAUUGCACAAUGGGCGAAAGCCUGAUGCAGCUAUGCCGCGUGUAUGAAGAAGGCCUUAGGGUUGUAAAGUACUUUCAUCGGGGAGGAAAAACAAAACUAAUAAUUUUAUUUCUUGACGUUACCCGAAAAAGAAGCACCGGCUAACUCCGUGCCAGCAGCCGCGGUAAUACGGAGGGUGCUAGCGUUAAUCAGAAUUACUGGGCGUAAAGAGCACGUAGGUGGUUUUUUUAAAGUCAGAUGUGAAAUCCCUGGGCUUAACCUAGGAACUGCAUUUUGAAACUGAAAUACUAGAGUAUCGUAGAGGGAGGUAGAAUUCUAGGUGUAGCGGUGAAAUGCGUAGAUAUCUGGAGGAAUACCUGUGGCGAAAGCGGCCUCCUAGACGAAUACUGACACUGAGGUGCGAAAGCGUGGGGAGCAAACAGGGAUUAGAUACC